GUGGGGAAUUUUGGACAAUGGGCGCAAGCCUGAUCCAGCCAUUCCGCGUGCAGGAUGAAGGCCUUCGGGUUGUAAACUGCUUUUGUACGGAACGAAAAGCCUCUGGUUAAUACCCGGGGGUCAUGACGGUACCGUAAGAAUAAGCACCGGCUAACUACGUGCCAGCAGCCGCGGUAAUACGUAGGGUGCGAGCGUGAAUCGGAAUUACUGGGCGUAAAGCGUGCGCAGGCGGUGAUGUAAGACAGUUGUGAAAUCCCCGGGCUCAACCUGGGGACUGCAUCUGUGACUGCAUUGCUGGAGUGCGGCAGAGGGGGAUGGAAUUCCGCGUGUAGCAGUGAAAAGCGUAGAUAUGCGGAGGAACACCGAUGGCGAAGGCAAUCCCCUGGGCCUGCACUGACGCUCAUGCACGAAAGCGUGGGGAGCAAACAGGAUUAGAUACCCUGGUAGUCC
rnacentral:rRNA from 1 species